rnacentral:rRNA from 1 species
GAAUACAUUAGCAUGGGAUAAUGGAAUAGGACCCUGUCCUCCUAUUUUCAGUUGGUUUUGGCAGCGCGAGGACUAGGGUAAUGAUUAAUAGGGAUAGUUGGGGGCAUUAAUAUUUAAUUGUCAGAGGUGAAAUUCUUGGAUUUAUGAAAGAUUAACUUCUGCGAAAGCAUCUGCCAAGGAUGUUUUCAUUAAUCAAGAACGAAAGUUAGGGGAUCGAAGACGAUCAGAUACCGUCGUAGUCUUAACCAUAAACGAUGCCGACCAGCGAUUAGGAGACGUUGAAUACAAAACACCACCAUCGGUUGCGGUCGUCCUUGGCGUCUCGGUUUCGGCCGGGGCGCGGGGAUGGCUUAGCCCGGUGGCACCGGUGAAUGACUCCCUACC